AUUGAACGCUGGCGGCAUGCUUUACACAUGCAAGUCGAACGGUAACAGGUUAAGCUGACGAGUGGCGAACGGGUGAGUAAUGCAUCGGAACGUGCCCGAUCGUGGGGGAUAACGCAGCGAAAGCUGCGCUAAUACCGCAUACGAUCUGAGGAUGAAAGCGGGGGACCGUAAGGCCUCGCGCGAUCGGAGCGGCCGAUGUCAGAUUAGGUAGUUGGUGGGGUAAAGGCCCACCAAGCCGACGAUCUGUAGCUGGUCUGAGAGGACGACCAGCCACACUGGGACUGAGACACGGCCCAGACUCCUACGGGAGGCAGCAGUGGGGAAUUUUGGACAAUGGGCGAAAGCCUGACCCAGCAAUGCCGCGUGCAGGAAGAAGGCCUUCGGGUUGUAAACUGCUUCUGUACGGAGCGAAAAGGUCCUUUCUAAUACAAGGGGCUCAUGACGGUACCGUAAGAAUAAGCACCGGCUAACUACGUGCCAGCCGCCGCAGUAACAC
rnacentral:rRNA from 1 species